rnacentral:lncRNA from 1 species
CAAAUUCAAUCAUCACAAGGCGAAAUUCUUACCUCAAACCUUUGUUCUCGGACAUUAACAAGUAGUUAAAACUCCAAUUCUCCAAAAUCUACAACCAAUCACUUUACACAUUUCGACAAUCUUGUUUCUCACCAAACAAGAACCUUGAUCUACUAGUAAUAUCAAAUUUCGCAUAUAACCUUUUCACGCCUUCGGAUCAUAGCCUAUCUACUAACCUGAUCUAACUAUCAGCCAAGCCUUGACCUUUCAGUUCUAGGUUGCCACUUCA